rnacentral:rRNA from 1 species
UACGGAGGUCUCAAGCGUUGUUCGGAUUCAUUGGGCGUAAAGGGUGCGUAGGUGGCGGGGUAAGUCUGGUGUGAAAUCUCGGGGCUCAACCCCGAAACUGCACUGGAUACUGCCUUGCUCGAGUACUGGAGAGGAGAUUGGAAUUUACGGUGUAGCAGUGAAAUGCGUAGAUAUCGUAAGGAAGACCAGUGGCGAAGGCGAAUCUCUGGACAGUUACUGACACUGAGGCACGAAGGCCAGGGGAGCAAACGGG